CUCUGCCCACUCUGGUCAGGUAGCAAAUGAGAUCUAAACUGAAUGCAUCUGUAGAUCUCCAUUUGUUCUCCAGGGACUGAAAAUUUAUGUAACAAAAUCAUUACACAUUAUAUCACUCCACUUUGCAUGAACAUUAGUCUCUACUUAUAAGAGGACCCUGGACUCAGCUCCAGCAUUAACUUCAUUUUUCUUAUCACCAAUUUUGGAAUAAACAUGUGCUGCAUCCAUACAGCUUUUGCACACCUCCAGUGUUUCCAGUGGCUUUGGAAAGAGGAAGCUCUUCCAAGACCUAAUGAAGCAGCAAUUACAUCUGAAGAGGGAGCCAAGCCAAGAAUUCUACCAUUCCAAUAGCUCUCCUUUGAACAUCAUGCU